AUUGAACGCUGGCGGCAUGCCUUACACAUGCAAGUCGAACGGCAGCACGGGUGCUUGCACCUGGUGGCGAGUGGCGAACGGGUGAGUAAUACAUCGGAACAUGUCCUUUAGUGGGGGAUAGCCCGGCGAAAGCCGGAUUAAUACCGCAUACGAUCUACGGAUGAAAGCGGGGGACCUUCGGGCCUCGCGCUAUAGGGUUGGCCGAUAGCUGAUUAGCUAGUUGGUGGGGUAAAGGCCUACCAAGGCGACGAUCAGUAGCUGGUCUGAGAGGACGACCAGCCACACUGGGACUGAGACACGGCCCAGACUCCUACGGGAGGCAGCAGUGGGGAAUUUUGGACAAUGGGCGAAAGCCUGAUCCAGCAAUGCCGCGUGUGUGAAGAAGGCCUUCGGGUUGUAAAGCACUUUUGUCCGGAAAGAAAUCCUUGGCUCUAAUACAGUCGGGGGAUGACGGUACCGGAAGAAUAAGCACCGGCUAACUACGUG
rnacentral:rRNA from 1 species